rnacentral:rRNA from 1 species
CCGCCAGAGAACUACAAGUGAAAUACUUCAAACUCAAAGGACUUGACGGUGUCCCAUAUCGACCUAGAGGAGCCUGUCCUGUAAUCGAUACCCCCCGUUCCACCCANCCCCAACUAGCACCACAAUCAGCCUAUAUACCGCCGUCGACAGUCUACCCUAUGAAGGUCCAAUAGUAGAUACAACAGCCCAACGCUAAUACGACAGGUCAAGGUGUAGCAAAUGCUGGGGAAGAGAUUGGCUACAUUUUUUAUUAUAAAAAACACGAAAUGCAUUAUGAAACACUGCACGAAGGUGAAUUUAGUAGUAAAAU